AGGGACUUAGGUUAAGCCUUAAACCAAGGGCCUUCAAAGCCCUAAAUAAGAGAUUCACCUCUUAGCCCCUG
rnacentral:tRNA from 1 species